AGGGGUAUAGUUCAUUGGUGGAGCAUUCGACUGCAGUUUGAGAGGUCCCCGGUUCAAACCUGGGUUUCCUCU